rnacentral:lncRNA from 1 species
GACGGAGUCUUGCUCAGUCGCCCAGGCUGGAGUGCAGUGGCGCGAUCUCGGCUCACUGCAAGCUCCGCCUCCCGGGUUCACGCCAUUCUCCCGCCUCAGCCUCCCGAUUAGCUGGGACCACAGGCGCCCGCCACCACGCCUGGCUAAUUUUUUGUAUUUUUAGUAGAGACGGGGUUUCGCCAUGUUGGCCAGGAUGGUCUCG